CAGUCCGGACUAUCAAGAGAGCUAUCCGUCGACAGUAUUGUUUCUAAACUGUCAUGGAGUUGCUCUCUUUAUGGACGGACUG
rnacentral:pre_miRNA from 1 species